rnacentral:tRNA from 1 species
CAAGGUUGGCGAAUCAGUCUCCAAAACUGAUUGAGGUGGGUUCGAUUCCAUACCGUCCUUGCCA